UCAAAUAAUUAGUAUUAGAUUGAAGUUUACUAUUUAAAUAUCAGGUAAUAGAUUUUUCAUAUUUUAAUUGUAUUUAUGUACUUACAGAGCUCUAGUAUGGCUGCUGGAAAGUGGUCGGGAAGACCUGCAAUGUAAAAUUGAUAAGCUGGAUAGUUAUAGAUUAUGUGGGGCUCAUUUUGAGGACAAGUGUUUUAAAAACGAUUUGAAAAACCGUUUGUAUCCACAUGCAAUACCAACAGUAUUUCCUUGUUUAGAAGGUCCAAGCUCUGUGUCAUCGAAAGAGAGCCAAAAGGAACAUAAUUAUGCUAAGAGUUCAUUAAAUCCUCAAACAUUUGAAGAUGUUAAUGAACCUCCUAGCAAAAUUAGAAUUUUACAGGACAUAAUUAUAGUGGCAGCUUCCACAUCUGACUCUGAAAUGCCAAGUUUACCAAGUACACCUCGUAAAGUACCUGUUCCAGUACUCUCUUCCGACAGUACCCAAACUGACUCCAAUUUGUCAUCUAAUUCGCCUAGGAAACAACAACUCAGAAAAGUUGUGAAACAGCUAAGAAAUGAAAAUAACCGUUUAAAAAAGAGAAA
rnacentral:lncRNA from 1 species